GGGAGUACGGUCGCAAGAUUAAAACUCAAAGGAAUUGACGGGGACCCGCACAAGCGGUGGAUGAUGUGGAUUAAUUCGAUGCAACGCGAAAAACCUUACCUACCCUUGACAUGGCUGGAAUCCUCGAGAGAUUGAGGAGUGCUCGAAAGAGAACCAGUACACAGGUGCUGCAUGGCUGUCGUCAGCUCGUGUCGUGAGAUGUUGGGUUAAGUCCCGCAACGAGCGCAACCCUUGUCAUUAGUUGCUACGAAAGGGCACUCUAAUGAGACUGCCGGUGACAAACCGGAGGAAGGUGGGGAUGACGUCAAGUCCUCAUGGCCCUUAUGGGUAGGGCUUCACACGUCAUACAAUGGUACAUACAGAGCGCCGCCAACCCGCGAGGGGGAGCUAAUCGCAGAAAGUGUAUCGUAGUCCGGAUUGUAGUCUGCAACUCGACUGCAUGAAGUUGGAAUCGCUAGUAAUCGCGGAUCAGCAUGUCGCGGUGAAUACGUUCCCGGGUCUUGUACACACCGCCCGUCACACCAUGGGAGCGGGUUUUACCAGAAGUAGGUAGCUUAACCGUAAGGAGGGCGCUUACCACGGUAGGAUUCGUGACUGGGGUGAAGUCGUAACAAGGUAGCCGUAUCGGAAGGUGCGGCUGGAUCACCUCCUUU
rnacentral:rRNA from 2 species